rnacentral:rRNA from 1 species
UACGUAAGGUCCGAGCGUUUGUCCGGAAUUACUGGGCGUAAAGAGCUCGUAGGCGGUUUGUCGCGUCUGCUGUGAAGGUCCGGGGCUCAACUCCGGAUCUGCGGUGGGUACGGGCAGACUAGAGUGAUGUAGGGGAGACUGGAAUUCCUGGUGUAGCGGUGAAAUGCGCAGAUAUCAGGAGGAACACCGAUGGCGAAGGCAGAUCUCUGGGCCGUAAACUGACGCUGAGGAGCGAAAGCGUGGGGAGCGAACAGG